rnacentral:rRNA from 1 species
UACGUAGGGUGCAAGCGUUGUCCGGAAUUAUUGGGCGUAAAGAGCGCGUAGGCGGCCCUGUAAGUCCGCUGUGAAAGUCAAGGGCUCAACCUUUGAAUGCCGGUGGAUACUGCAGGGCUAGAGUCCGGAAGAGGCGAGUGGAAUUCCUGGUGUAGCGGUGAAAUGCGCAGAUAUCAGGAGGAACACCGGUGGCGAAGGCGGGUCUCUGGGCAACAACUGACGCUGAGGAGCGAAAGCGUGGGAGCGAACAGG